GAACGGCAGCGGGGAUUCACUUCGGUGAAUCUGCCGGCGAGUGGCGCACGGGUGAGUAACACGUAUGCAACCUGCCUCUGUCAGGGGUAUAACUCUGCGAAAGUAGGGCUAAUACCGCGUAUAUUCCCGGAGGGCAUCCUCCGGGGAGGAAAGGUUUCGGCCGGACAGAGAUGGGCAUGCGGCGCAUUAGGCAGUUGGCGGGGUAACGGCCCACCAAACCGACGAUGCGUAGGGGUUCUGAGAGGAAGGUCCCCCACACUGGUACUGAGACACGGACCAGACUCCUACGGGAGGCAGCAGUGAGGAAUAUUGGUCAAUGGCCGGAAGGCUGAACCAGCCAAGCCGCGUGAAGGACGAAGGUGCCAAAGCAUUGUAAACUUCUUUUGUCAAGGGACAAAAAUCAGGCUCGAGAGCCUGACCGAGGGUACU
rnacentral:rRNA from 1 species